GCAGGGAGGCGACGGGGAGACAGAGGCAGCUACCUAGGGGACAGCUGCGCAGGGAGCUCCCCUGGCGAGUUCAGUGUGGCUCAAGCAGGAGACAAGCAGGCAGGGCCAGCUCCUCGGGGCGAGGGCUGUGAGGUCCCUGCCCAGGAGUUUGCUUUUAUCCUGAAGGUCAGGAGGAGGCAGCAAAGGGCGGUUAGCAGGGACGUGAGAAUGAUUGGAAAGCUGGUGUUGGAACUGAGGCGAGAAAUGGCAGGGUAGAGAGAUGGCAGGAAGUGGAACGUGCAGGGUUGGUGUGCAGGUGGAGGUCAGGGUGAAGGAGAAGGGGGGCCCCGGGGUCACGCCUGGCCUCUGGAACACACCGUGAUCUCUCUUCUCUCCAUGUCUUGGCACGGGCUGCCUGUUGUUUCUGACUGCACCUUCUCCCCCUUUUCACCCCAAUAACUCUGUUCGCUAUUCCACACGCAGCCCGGCAUCGCCUCUCCCUGGAAAUCUUCUGUAGCUGUCGGGAAGGAGAUGGCGCAUAAUCAUCAAGUAAUUGGGAUGAGUAAAGGGACUUGUUAUAAAGCGGUGAGCAGGGUUUAAGGAAAUCCAAAGGUGAUGGUGCAGUACCCCAGGGCUAGUAGUGCUGUUACCAUCCCAGAGGCCAGAAAGGACCAGGGAGAGAAAGUUACUAGAACCUGAGAAAAGAGCUUUGUGGCGAGGGCCACCUGACAGGAGCUGCAUCCUUCAGGAGGGGGCACAGUCACCCUGCCAGGAUCCUGAGAGGAGGAAUCCCAGAGAAUGAACACCCCAGCCAUACCCUCCUCCCUCCUGCCCAUCUUUUGCUUGGGCUCCCCUUGGCCUGAUCAACCUAGAAGCAGCAGCCACCUGAGCCCAUUGGGGCAGUCCCUGCCACCCCAGGGCACAGAGCAGGGUCGAGAGUGGGCCUGAGCAAAGGGAAGAACCCAUAGCACUUUUGCUGACCACCCCCAGCUGGGUCCCCACCAGCAGCCUCUCCUGUUAUGUCCCACAGUGCCCUGUGACUCUCACCGUCACAGCACUGCUCUGACCCCCCACAGUCCCCCCCCACCAGACCGUGAGCUCCUCGGGGGGCUAUCUGCCCUGUCUUAUCCAUCUCUGUAUCUUCCACACCUAGCACAGUACCUGACACAGAGGAAGGGCUCCAUAAAUGUUGAGUCGAUGAAGAUCCCCCUUAUCAAAUGCAAAUUUCAUAUAGAAAGUAAAUUUCUCAUCUAUUAUCAGCUGGCGCCUCAGGGUGGCUUACGACAAGAAAGAACAAGUUUCAGCCUUAUAAGUUUGAAGUUAACGUCCCCAGAGGACAUGUGCUUCCUGAUUUUAUUCUUUUUCCGUGGAUCAGUGUGUCAUCAGUCAACGAGCAUGCAGCAGCUUCCCCUGUGCGGAGGCAGAAUUCCUGCCAGAAAUUAACAUGUGUCCACGAUUCACUUUCCUUCUGUAGCAAAGCUAAUGCAUAGCAACUGAAGGCAAUGACAACAUUAUUUCAUGCAAAUGCUAUAGGAUGGAUCAAACAGAGAGGUGUGUUGGGAAAUUAAAUUUACCAGGUAAACGCAGCAGCUCAGGGCUUACAGCUGUUUGCAGCUCGGUUGAGCAUCUGGAAUGACCCAGCGCAGCCAUCAGGCAUUAACUGGGUGACUGAGUUGCAGACCCCGCAGUCUGUCCUGUGUGUCCCUGCUUCUCCAUUUUCACAGUCAUCUCAGGUCACGUCCUCUCUCAACCUGUCCUACACUGAGCAAAGGGAAAAUUGUUCUGGCAGCGAUUUGCAUCACAUUAUAUUAUUCUCUAGCUUAAUGUUCAAACCCUUUGACAGGCACCCCUCACUCCACCCUUAGUAUGUAACAUGUCCCCUUGUAACUGUCUCUCAACCAUGUGUCAGCUCCUCCCUCUGUCUGUUAUCAAGGGAAACCUUCUGUCUUCAUUUGUCCUGAAUUCUCACCACUUCCCAUACCUAGAAGGCACUCAAGGGGGAUUUCUGGUUAAUAAUCCACUUAGGUAUACCUGCUCCGUACAUGUCACCAUAGUAACUCCACACCUUGCUAAGAGUUGAUGGCAGCAGUGUGUAAUGGCUUGGCUCCGUCCCUAUUCAGCCACUAAUCCUGUAGAUGGAUGCUUUUGUUCCUACCCCCGCAAAGCCUGGGGAGCUCUGCACUCCCUGAAAAAUCAGAAGUGUUGCCAGCCGGCUACCUGCCUCCUCGCUGCCUCCAAACACGAUGCAAACAAGCGCUGUUGCCAUGCUGCCCAUAAAUAGGGACUGUUCUUCAACUCCAGAAAUGUCCUUGGCACAGAGUGUACAAGCUUACCGGUCACAGGCCUUCUCUCUCCACCUUCCAGGGCCAUGGCUGAGUUCUUGGUAACCCCAUUCAGGAGGCCCACCGCAGAGUGAACCUGUAGCUGUCCUGACUGCCCCAUGUUAGGAGGGAGUAAAGGUGCUCCCAUCGGUCCCCGGAACCUGGAGCCAAACCCAUGGGAAUUCAUGGACUCAUUCCCUGUCUCCUUCUCUGAGAUCCUACUGCCAGGUGAGGCAGCCAUGUUGCACAACUCUAGGUAAAUCAUGCUCCCAGGAGUUGUAAAAUGUGGUGGGCCUGGUGCCAGGCACUGUCUUGAGCAGAGCGAGCCCAGUGGGUCACAGCAGCGGCUGUGCUGUAUGUCUUUGCUCCUUCAGAUGCUCUCUUGGAUCUUCUCCAUCCGGCCCUGGGUCUCAGGAAGCAGACUUGUGGGGGUCACAUCAACUCUUUUGCCCUCCAGCUUCCCUCUGGGUCAUGGGGAGCACUGGCAGGACAUCGGAAGGCAGAGAAGGAGGAGAGUGACCUGCGAACCUGUCUUCCUGCCAGGUUGCUGUGGGUUUACAGUUGAAGGCGGCCCUCUCCACUCCGCUGCCUUCUCGGAGGUCUGGCAGACGCUCUGGUUACCCCGGUGUCACCAGCCUAGAGCACCGCAGUAUCCCUGCGGCUCUCAUCUUCCUAAAUGGCUCCUUCGUCACAUGCCCUCCCUUUGACUCCCUCUGAGGGGGCCUCACUGCUUUGCUGCUGGAACCCUGACCGACACAGUCCUAAACAAGACAGAGCUCACACUAACAGAGUGUUCCAGUGGACUUCAAGUCGGCGUGUGGAGAGACAGACAACAGGCACCUUUGUAAAGGUGUGGCAGGGUUGGGGGGCCAGCUCCCAGGAGAGCAGCUGUCACUGGCAUCUGGAAGAGAAGGAGCCAUGAAGGAGGGGCCGCCGACAGGAGCUGAGUGGCUGCUGACUCCCAGAGGCCUUUGGGAAGCCUGGGAGGCGGGAUGGAGUCAGAUCAGGGCACGUCCUGAGCCCUGUGAGGUAAGAGCCCCUGUGAGGAUGGAUGACACAGGAGGUCAGGACAAGUGAGCACUCAGCCGUCUGCACAUUUGAUAUGAAGUAGGCUGGGAAGAAGGAAUUUCAUCUUCCAAUGACUACCCUCAGUCCCAAUUUGUCAGCAAACCCUAACAGUUUUCAUAAAUGUUAACACCUCCAGUGCUCAGUCUGGAAACUUAGAGGCUCCAGGAGGGAUGCAAUAAGGAGGGGUGGAGGGCUGGCCCCGUGGCCGAGUGGUUAAGUUCGUGCGCUCCGCUGCAGGCGGCCCAGUGUUUCGUUGGUUCGAAUCCUGGGCGCGGACAUGGCACUGCUCAUCAAACCAUGCUGAGGCAGUGGCCCACAUGCCACAACUAGAAGGACCCACAACGAAGAAUAUACAACUAUGUACCGGGGGGCUUUGGGGGAAAAAGGAAAAAAUAAAAUCUUUUAAAAAAAAUAAUAAGGAGGGGUGGGGACUGCUUGCCCCCCAGAAGGGCUCCGAUUGAGGGGCUGCCCAGCCCGAACGCAGGAGAGGUGUCCGAUACCUGGAGCCAAACCACAGUUCAGGGAUAUUUGUUCAGUCAGCAUCCCAGGCUUGCACAGCUUUCCAAGGUCCUUUUGUUGCUGUGCUCCGUGGCUGCGUGGGGGCCUGGAAAGCUGCUUGGGUGCUUGUUUGGGCUGAACAAAGGCCUCACCACCUUGUACCUGCUCACGCUGAGGGGCUGGCAAAUGUAGACGGCUUCCAAACCUUUGCUCCUAAAUUUAGAGAGUGCAGAGUGCUUAGUAAGACUCAGUUCGAGGGAGAGAAAACACUUUGGCAUUACUUAGAGAGAGCAAAUGUAUGCAGUCUGCUUUGUCCUCUUCUGGUUUCUGUCUUGUAGGAAGACACAGCUGGAAAAAACAGCGGAGAGAGGCGUUGCCUGCUAGAAAACCUCAGCUGCCCCCACUGACGUUGAUCUUAUCCAGUGGUUUCCAAAGGUUUUCAGCAGCAGAACUCUUUUGACAAACCAAGUCUGCCACAGAAUCUUAAUAUAUAAACACAGGCAACAUCACAUGACCAUUUCCUAGACACGCCCACAGACCCUGAUUCCAGCCACUUCUAGGGGGGACCGUCUGAGUGUGUGUGCGCAUGAGUGAGGUUUAUUGAGGCGUGAUUUGCAUACAGGGAGAUUCACCCCUUUUAGGUGUAGUUAGAUGAGUGUUGACACAGUCUUGUAAUAACACUGCACUCAAGACACUGAGCCCCUCCAUCACCCCCAAAAUUUCCUCAUGCCCCUUUGGGCAUGUUCACUUCCCUUUCCCCUCACUCCCAUUCCCUGCAACCACGAAGUGUUGCUUUUCCAGAAUGGCAUAUCAGCGGAGUCAUGCAGUAUGCCACCUUUUGUGGCUGGCGCUUCCGCUUAGCUAAGGCUUUUGAGAGUCAUCCGGAGUUUUGCAUGUAUCAGUAAUUUGUUCCUUUUUAUUGCCAAGUAGAAGUCUAUGGUUCUCGAGUGGUUUUCAAAGUUGUCCUUCAGCUUCUGAUUCUUCUCCGCAUAGAAUAUAAAGCCCUCCAUUCAAAUAAUUUUCUUUCUUCCUUGAAAUACUGAGAUUGAAGCCCUGGUAACACCCCCGAAGGAGCACAUGUGGAGGGAAGGUGUUUGACCCCAGAAGUGUCAUCACUGUGCCAUCUUGCUACGUCAGAGCUGUCCCUCACGGAGCUGACCUCCCCCCGGCCUCCAGAGCACCUCCAUCUCUUCCAGGACUAGAACUCCUCCUAAUUUUCUGAUCAAAGCAAAAGAAUGCUGUUUGCUUUUCUUGUUUCUUUUUUUAAAAAUCAUGUUUAACAAAUUCUUAAGCUGGGGAAAGAAUACGAGGGAAUGCAUUGUUCAGAAAUAAACCUGGGCUUCUCAAGGCCUUCCAAGGACAAAGAUCUGAGGCCCAAACACAGAUUCCACACAAAAACUUCAACCAGAACCUUCAGCUGUGGCCACUGCUCCUUUGACCACACAGUGGCAAGAAUCUUUUGGAUUCUCAAUUCUGCCACCUGACAGCUCGUGUUCCCCCCUCAACCAUCCCCCCGGCCGACCAUCUCACGGGGUCGGAACCUGGGUGUGGAGCGGGGAGGUCCCCGGAGACUUAGGUGCUCUGCUCUGGAGUUUGGACCUUACACUGUAGCCAAUGGGAAUGGGCAACGGGCACUAGGCGGAGGGUCGGUGUGCAUUCUGGAGAUCUCUCUACUGUCGGAGGUGGGAAAAGCUGUGGGAGGCUCCUGCCAUGGUUCAGGUGAGAGAUGAUCCAUCGGCAAGACAAUGGAGGGAAGAGAAUCCAUCACAGAGACACGUCGGCUGCAGAACUGAUAGAGGCUGGAAGAAGGGUGAGAGAAAGGAAGGUGCAAACCACUUCGUUUAGCUACCCCAAUAACCCUGUGAUGUAGGUGUCAUGAUGUCCAUUUGACAGACGACAAGACUGAGCUUGGUGAGGUUAAAUAACUUGAUGAGUUCACACAGCGCAUAAGAUAGAAACCAAAUCACGGUAUUGGGGCACCAUGCUCAGGGGUUACUCAGGUGUGUGAGAUAGCAAGAAACAUAUUUAAUGAAUUAUGGAAAACUACCUUAAAAAAAGCAAGAACUAUGCUUUGGGAAGAGUCUCCUUGAGUCCCUGGAGAGCAGUGUUUGGGCAGUGUACUACCAGUGACGUAGUGAAAUGAGCAGAUUUUAAAAGGCCUUGCGCUGUUAUCAUUCUCCUUCCGCAUCCUCUUUCCCUGUCUUUCCUCCCGCAUCUGGGAAAGAGAGAUUCAUAUAAAAUGUGAUAGCACUGGAGACCGUUUCGGCAAAGCCUGCUGCCAGCUGCCGUCUCUGACACACACACAUCCCCCACCAUCAUCUUAUUCCUUCUGGGUAAAUGGCCUCCUCCCCAUUUCCCAACUGGUUUGGAGAUAAAAGCAGGCAGUAAGGAAUUUAUCCUUUUUCCCAUAAUAUUGUGGCUGUAAUUUAAAGCGGCCAUAACUCAUGUAUAAAACUGUGACCAUAAUACCAUGGCAAAAACCAUCGUUCAAACCCCAAAGGAAGAAAUGUGGAGUCCUGUUUCUUCCAGCUGUAAAUUGCCUCAAAACCAGCAGACAGCUGCUGGCAUAAUCAGAUAAUGGAAACUAAGGUUUGGAAA
rnacentral:lncRNA from 1 species